GUACUCUCCGGUCGGAAAUCCCAAAGUCUGGUCGGAAAUUCCAACGGAUGUCGAGAAUCACGAGGCCAAACGCCACAUCACCACCGUCAAAAAGUCGAGUAAUUCGAGUUCCCUCGACGUCGGCUCUACUUCGUGUGAAAAAGAGCUCUCCAGCAGAGAGCAUUUCGUAACUCUGAGUUCCUUCUCUCGCUCUCGUGGAGAUGGAGCUGGAGAUGGAGUCCAUAGCGGCGGCGAUAGGGGUGUCGGUGCCGGUGCUGCGCUUCUUGCACUGCUUCGUGGCGACGAUUCCGGUGAGCCUCGCGUGGAGGCUGGUCCCUGGAACCCUACCGAAGCAUCUUUAUGCCGCGGUCACUGGGGCGGUUCUCUCCUAUCUGUCCUUCGGUUUGUCCUCCAACCUCCACUUCCUCAUCCCCAUGGCGCUGGGUUAUGCCUCCAUGCGCCUGUUCCGUCGUCAUUGCGGCAUCAUCACCUUCUUCAUUGGGUUUGGCUACCUCAUCGGAUGCCAUGUGUACUACAUGAGUGGGGAUGCAUGGAAGGAAGGAGGCAUUGAUGCAACAGGAGCUUUGAUGGUAUUGACUCUUAAAGUCGUUUCAUGUGCAAUAAAUUACGGCGAUGGGCUACUAAAAGAAGAAGGACUGCGUGAUGCGCAGAAAAAAUAUCGAUUAAUUCAUUGCCCCUCUAUAAUUGAAUAUAUUGGUUACUGUCUUUGCUGUGGCAGUCACUUUGCGGGACCAGUAUAUGAAAUAAAGGAUUAUCUUGAAUGGACAGAAGCUAAAGGGAUUUGGGCGCAUUCGAAUGACAGAUCAUUGCCAUCACCAUAUGGUGCUACAUUGCGUGCUCUAGUUCAAGCUGCAGUAUGUAUGGGACUAUACUUGUACUUGGUACCACAAUAUCCACUUUCUCGGUUCAGUGAGCCCAUAUAUUAUGAGUGGGGUUUUUGGCAACGGCUGAGAUACCAAUACAUGUCUGGAUUGACUGCCCGUUGGAAAUACUAUUUUAUUUGGUCGAUCUCAGAGGCUUCGAUCAUCAUUUCUGGUCUUGGUUUCACUGGGUGGUCAGACUCUUCACAUUCUAAACCUCAGUGGGACCGUGCAAAAAAUGUUGAUAUUCUCGGUGGGGAGCUUGCCACUAGUGCAGUUCAGCUACCACUUGUGUGGAACAUACAAGUCAGCACCUGGCUACGUUACUAUGUAUAUGAAAGGCUCAUUCAGAAAGGGAAAAAACCUGGAUUCCUUCAGUUACUGGCUACACAGACUGUUAGCGCUGUUUGGCAUGGCUUGUAUCCUGGAUACAUGAUAUUUUUUGUUCAAUCGGCAUUGAUGAUCGCUGGUUCACGAGAUGGCAGCAAGCUAUCUCCCCCAAGAACGCUUUGCUUAGAAAGAUGAUGGCAUUUGCCAAUUUUGCAUACACGCUACUUGUUCUUAACUAUUCCUGCAUUGGCUUCUUGGUACUAAGCAUGAAAGAAACCGUUGCUGCCUACAGGAGCGUAUAUUUUGUUGGAACCAUUGUUCCUAUCGUGUUGAUCCUACUGGGUCAUAUAAUCAAACCAGCCAAACCUGUUAGGCCUAAAACUCAGAAAAGCCAGUGAGGCAAAAAUCAUAUGCCCUUCCAACUUUGCUGGAAAGAGGUGAAAGAAUAUUGCAGCCUCUAAUCAUAGGCUUUUUCUCUUUCAUAGUCUUUCAUUUUCUCUGAAUUACGAAGUGAUCUUCAUGUUGAUUUGAGUAUAGCAUGCUUCCAUGCAUCCCUGCAGUUGUUCAAGCUUAUAAACUUAGUGAAGUGAUGGAUAAACCUAUUUGGUCAUAUUUGCUGGUUCUGUGA